GGCGCGGUAGCUCAGUUGGUAGAGCAGCGGACUGAAAAUCCGCGUGUCGCCGGUUCGAUCCCGGCCUGCGCCA
rnacentral:tRNA from 1 species